rnacentral:rRNA from 1 species
AACGAACGCUGGCGGCGCGCCUAAUACAUGCAAGUCGAGCGAGAAGGUGUAGCAAUACACUUGUAAAGCGGCGAACGGGUGAGGAAUGCAUGGGUAACCUACCCUCGAGUGGGGAAUAACUAGCCGAAAGGUUAGCUAAUACCGCAUACGUUUCCGGAACUUCGGUUUCGGAAAGAAAGCAAUACCGUGGGUAUUGCGCUCCUGGAUGGGCUCAUGUCCUAUCAGCUUGUUGGUGAGGUAACGGCUCACCAAGGCUUCGACGGGUAGCUGGUCUGAGAGGACGAUCAGCCACACUGGCACUGCGACACGGGCCAGACUCCUACGGGAGGCAGCAGUAAGGAAUAUUGCGCAAUGGACGAAAGUCUGACGCAGCGACGCCGCGUGGGGGGAUGAAGGUCUUCGGAUUGUAAACCCUUUCGGGAGGGAAGAUGGAGUGGGUAACCACUUGGACGGUACCUCCAGAAGCAGCCACGGCUAACUUCGUGCCAGCAGCCGCGGU